rfam:Feldmannia species virus isolate FsV-158, complete genome.
CACCUGGUGUUUUUCAACACCACCCAGAAUCGGAAGAAAUGAUGG